AUUGAACGCUGGCGGCAUGCCUUACACAUGCAAGUCGAACGGUAACGCGGGGCAACCUGGCGACGAGUGGCGAACGGGUGAGUAAUGCAUCGGAACGUGCCUGGUAGUGGGGGAUAACUGCUCGAAAGAGCAGCUAAUACCGCAUACGACCUGAGGGUGAAAGGGGGGGAUCGCAAGACCUCUCGCUAUCGGAGCGGCCGAUGUCGGAUUAGCUAGUUGGUGGGGUAAAGGCCCACCAAGGCAACGAUCCGUAGCUGGUCUGAGAGGACGACCAGCCACACUGGGACUGAGACACGGCCCAGACUCCUACGGGAGGCAGCAGUGGGGAAUUUUGGACAAUGGACGCAAGUCUGAUCCAGCAAUGCCGCGUGCGGGAAGAAGGCCUUCGGGUUGUAAACCGCUUUUGUCCGGAAAGAAAUGGCUCUGGUUAAUACCUGGGGUCGAUGACGGUACCGGAAGAAUAAGGACCGGCUAACUACGUGCCAGCCGCCGCGGUAA
rnacentral:rRNA from 1 species